rnacentral:rRNA from 1 species
UUCCGGUUGAUCCUGCCGGACCCGACUGCUAUUUGGGUGAGAAUAAGCCAUGCGAGUUGAAUGGGAUACCUAAAGUUCCCAUAGCAAACUGCUCAGUAACACAUGAUCAACUUACCCUAUAGAGAAAAAUAACCUCGGGAAACUGAGGAUAAUGUUUCACAAUUGAAUUGGCUUGGAAAAGUUUUUCAAUGAAAAGGAUAAAAAAAAAUGGUUUUUAUCUGCUAUAGGAUAGGAUCGUGUUCGAUUAUGGUUGUUGGUGAGAUAAUGGCUCACCAAGCCGAUAAUCGAUAGGGGCCGUGAGAGCGGGAGCCCCGAGAUGGGUACUGAGACAACGACCCAGGCCUUACGAGGCGCAGCAGGCGCGGAACCUCCGCAAUACACGAAAGUGCGACGGGGUUACCCAAAGUGUUCAAUAGAACUGUGGUAGGUGAGUAAUGUCCCCUACUAGAAAGGAGAGGGCAAGGCUGGUGCCAGCCGCCGCGGUAAAACCAGCUCUUCAAGUGGUCGGGAUAAUUAUUGGGCUUAAAGUGUCCGUAGCCGGUUUAGUAAGUUCCUGGUAAAAUCGGGUAGCUUAACUAUCUGCAUGCUAGGAAUACUGCUAUACUAGAGGGCGGGAGAGGUCUGAGGUACUACAGGGGUAGGGGUGAAAUCCUAUAAUCCUUGUAGGACCACCAGUGGCGAAGGCGUCAGACUGGAACGCGCCUGACGGUGAGGGACGAAAGCCAGGGGAGCGAACCGGAUUAGAUACCCGGGUAGUCCUGGCCGUAAACGAUGCAUACUAGGUGAUGGUACGGCCAUGAGCCGUAUCAGUGCCGUAGGGAAACCGUUAAGUGUGCCGCCUGGGAAGUACGGUCGCAAGGCUAAAACUUAAAGGAAUUGGCGGGGGAGCACCACAAGGGGUGAAGCCUGCGGUUCAAUUGGAUUCAACGCCGGAAAUCACUAGUGCGGCC